rnacentral:lncRNA from 10 species
UUCAACAGUGUCAGCGGAGGCUCACGAGGCAUGGUGACUGAAGCCCCGCAGGAGGUGGGAUUUGCAAAGGACAUUAUUGGAAUGAAGGGUGAAAUUUGAAUAAGGGACCAGCUCUGUGAACACGGCAAGUAACAACAGAGAGAAAACGUGAGGAGAAAAGAGAGACCGGGAUUUUGAAAUCCUGUUUCCUGAAUGCCAUCUCACCAGGCACACGAAAGAAUAAA